GACGUAGGGCGCGAGCGUUGUCCGGAUUUAUUGGGCGUAAAGAGCUCGUAGGCGGCUUGUCACGUCGUUCGUGAAAACUUGGGGCUCAACCCCAAGCUUGCGGUCGAUACGGGCAGGCUAGAGUUCGGUAGGGGAGACUGGAAUUCCUGGUGUAGCGGUGAAAUGCGCAGAUAUCAGGAGGAACACCGAUGGCGAAGGCAGGUCUCUGGGCCAUAACUGACGCUGAGAAGCGAAAGCAUGGGGAGCGAACAGG
rnacentral:rRNA from 1 species